rnacentral:rRNA from 1 species
AUACAUGCAAGUCGAGCGAACAGAAGGGAGCUUGCUCCCGGAUGUUAGCGGCGGACGGGUGAGUAACACGUGGGUAACCUGCCUGUAAGACUGGGAUAACUCCGGGAAACCGGAGCUAAUACCGGAUAGUUCCUUGAACCGCAUGGUUCAAGGAUGAAAGACGGUUUCGGCUGUCACUUACAGAUGGACCCGCGGCGCAUUAGCUAGUUGGUGGGGUAAUGGCUCACCAAGGCGACGAUGCGUAGCCGACCUGAGAGGGUGAUCGGCCACACUGGGACUGAGACACGGCCCAGACUCCUACGGGAGGCAGCAGUAGGGAAUCUUCCGCAAUGGACGAAAGUCUGACGGAGCAACGCCGCGUGAGUGAUGAAGGUUUUCGGAUCGUAAAGCUCUGUUGUUAGGGAAGAACAAGUGCGAGAGUAACUGCUCGCACCUUGACGGUACCUAACCAGAAAGCCACGGCUAACUACGUGCCAGCAGCCGCGGUAAUACGUAGGUGGCAAGCGUUGUCCGGAAUUAUUGGGCGUAAAGGGCUCGCAGGCGGUUUCUUAAGUCUGAUGUGAAAGCCCCCGGCUCAACCGGGGAGGGUCAUUGGAAACUGGGAAACUUGAGUGCAGAAGAGGAGAGUGGAAUUCCACGUGUAGCGGUGAAAUGCGUAGAGAUGUGGAGGAACACCAGUGGCGAAGGCGACUCUCUGGUCUGUAACUGACGC